rnacentral:rRNA from 1 species
GAUCAUGGCUCCGGAUGAACGCUAGCUACAGGCUUAACACAUGCAAGUCGAGGGGCAGCAUUUUAGUUUGCUUGCAAACUAAAGAUGGCGACCGGCACACGGGUGAGUAACACGUAUCCAACCUGCCGAUAACUCUGGGAUAGCCUUUCGAAAGAAAGAUUAAUACCGGAUGGCAUAGGAUUAUCGCAUGAUAAUCCUAUUAAAGAAUUUCGGUUAUCGAUGGGGAUGCGUUCCAUUAGG